GACAGAGGUGCCAAGCGUUAGGCGGAAUCACUGGGCCUAAAGCGUGUGUAGGCGGAUCGUUAAGUACCUUGUGAAAUCCCACGGCUCAACCGUGGAACUGCUGGGUAUACUGGCGGUCUUGAGCCACCUAGGGGCAACUGGAACAAGCGGUGGAGCGGUGAAAUGCGUAGAUAUCGCUUGGAACGCCAACGGUGAAAACAGGUUGCUGGGGGUGUGCUGACGCUGAGACACGAAAGCCAGGGGAGCGAACGGG
rnacentral:rRNA from 1 species